rnacentral:rRNA from 1 species
GACGAACGCUGGCGGCGUGCUUAACACAUGCAAGUCGAACGGAAAGGCCCUGCUCUUGUGGCGUGCUCGAGUGGCGAACGGGUGAGUAACACGCGAGUAACCUGCCCUUGACUUUGGGAUAACUUCAGGAAACUGGGGCUCUUACCGGAUAGGAGCUCCUGCUGCAUGGUGGGGGAUGGAAAGUUUCGGCGGUUGGGGCUGGACUCGCGGCUUAUCCGCUUGUUGGUGGGGUAGUGGCUUUCAAAGGCUUUGACGGGUAGCCUGCCUGGGAGGUUGACCGGCGACAUUGGAACUGCGAGACGGCCCAGACGCCUACGGGAGGCAGCAGUGGGGAAUAUUGCAGAAUGGGCGGAAGCCUGAUGUAGCAACGCUGCGUGCGGGAUAACGGCCUUCGAGUGGAAAACCGCUUUCGCCUGAGACGAAGCGUGAUUGACGGUAAUUGGUAAGGAAGCACCGGCUAACUACGUG